UACAGAGGGGGCUAGCGUUGUUCGGAAUUACUGGGCGUAAAGGGCGCGUAGGCGGCCGCCUAAGUCAGACGUGAAAUCCCUCGGCUCAACCGGGGAACUGCGUCUGAUACUGGGCGGCUUGAAUCCGGGAGAGGGAUGCGGAAUUCCAGGUGUAGCGGUGAAAUGCGUAGAUAUCUGGAGGAACACCGGUGGCGAAGGCGGCAUCCUGGGCCGGUAUUGACGCUGAGGAGCGAAAGCCAGGGGAGCAAACGGG
rnacentral:rRNA from 1 species